UACGGGGGGGGCAAGCGUUAUUCGGAAUUACUGGGCGUAAAGGGCUCGUAGGUGGCCAACUAAGUCAGACGUGAAAUCCCUCGGCUUAACCUGGGAACUGCGUCUGAUACUGGAAGGCUUGAGUAUGGGAGAGGGAUGUAGAAUUCCAGGUGUAGCGGUGAAAUGCGUAGAUAUCUGGAGGAAUACCGGUGGCGAAGGCGGCAUCCUGGACCAUUACUGACGCUGAGGCGCGAAAGCUAGGGGAGCAAACGGG
rnacentral:rRNA from 1 species